UGCGUAGGCGGCGCGGUAAGUCGGGUGUGAAAUCUUGGAGCUUAACUCCGAAACUGCAUUCGAUACUGCCGUGCUCGAGGACUGUAGAGGAGAUCGGAAUUCACGGUGUAGCAGUGAAAUGCGUAGAUAUCGUGAGGAAGACCAGUUGCGAAGGCGGAUCUCUGGGCAGUUCCUGACACUGAGGCACAAGGGCCAGGGGGAGCAAACG
rnacentral:rRNA from 1 species